rnacentral:tRNA from 2 species
GCCCACGUAGCUCAGUUGGUUAGAGCACUUCCUUGGUAAGGGAGAGGUCACCGGUUCAAAUCCGGUUGUGGGCUCCA